rnacentral:lncRNA from 1 species
AAAUAAUACUGUGUAUCUCUGAGAUAUAUAUGUGUGAAAAUAGAUUUCCAAGUCAAUAUGUUUGGGUGAGUCACCACUGAGAUGUUAUCUGUCUGUAGGAUAGUUUAAUUGACUGUGUAAGCUGUGUCCAAAAUUUUUAGUGAUUAACUUUCCAGUGUAUAAUUUCAAUCUGAAAGCCCCAUUACAAAGCAACAAAACUGACCAGUAGCAUUAUUCAAUACUGACAUUAGCAGUGCACUUAAUUCUUGAAGUUUGUUUACUAGGCAAUGUAGGCUGUGUUCCUGAUAAACAUCAGCAUAGCCCAGUCUCUGUUGUAGCUUACAGCUCAGCAUUGGAGGAGAGGAGAGCUGAACUUGUGGACAAAAACAAUGUUGUGGUGAAAUAGCAAGGAUUCAGCAAAGAGCUGUAUACUAAAUAAUAAGGGAGGUACCAGGAGAAUGAGUUCAGCAUAGGGAUGGUGGGGAAAGGCUUUACAGAAGAUAAAGUAAACACUGGCUCUGUUGGAAUAAAUGCAGUUUCUAGCUGCAUUUGCAUGGGCAUGACAUAACACAGUAAACUCAGCACUCCGUAAAUACUUGUGCAAUUGAAAUUUAUUAUAAAAUAUACCUGGGUUUGUUUUAGUCUGAUAAGGUAAGACACACUGACGCGGAAGUGACUCUCAUGAACCACAUUUUCAUGCUCAGGAACCCUAGAAACAACAUAUCACCAGAACUACAUGGGGAGCGCCAGGGCUGGUCAGAAGGCAGGAGCCGAGAAAAGCCUAACCAACAUGUUUACUUUGAAGUGGAAGAACUUGGCCUACUGGGCCUGGCCUAUGAUGGUGCCCUCCAAGGACUCGGCUCUCUCCUAUGUUGCCCCAUGAUCUGUGUAGUGAUUCUUUUCCGGCAGCCCCAGAGCUUUUCAUUGCUCUGGGGAGUAGCAAGAGAAAGACAUUCUCCAAUGGGGAACAUUUAAAGGUGGUAAAAUUACUGGCAGG